UCUUGGGUUGUAAACCUCUUUUCUCAGGGAAGAAAAAAAUGACGGUACCUGAGGAAUAAGCAUCGGCUAACUCCGUGCCAGCAGCCGCGGUAAUACGGAGGAUGCAAGCGUUAUCCGGAAUGAUUGGGCGUAAAGCGUCCGCAGGUGGCAUUGAAAGUCUGCUGUCAAAGAGUCUGGCUCAACCAGAUAAAGGCAGUGGAAACUACAAAGCUAGAGUACGUUCGGGGCAGAGGGAAUUCCUGGUGUAGCGGUGAAAUGCGUAGAGAUCAGGAAGAACACCGGUGGCGAAAGCGCUCUGCUAGGCCGUAACUGACACUGAGGGACGAAAGCUAGGGGAGCG
rnacentral:rRNA from 1 species